rnacentral:ribozyme from 1 species
GCAGAAAAGAAGAGAAACACGCAGCGAAAAGAGAAACAACAUCCGCUGACUGACUGACGAUUUUUCUUUUUUCGCCCUUUGCUUCUUUCUGUGUUUUCUCUCCUUCUUUUU